UCUCGUUUCCCGAACAGGAUUAGAUACCCUGGUAGUCCAUGCUGUAAAUGAUGAGUGUUCGCCCUUGGUCUACGCGGAUCAGGGCCCAGCUAACGCGUGAAACACUC
rnacentral:rRNA from 1 species